rnacentral:rRNA from 1 species
CCUACGGGUUGCAGCAGUGGGGAAUAUUGCACAAUGGGGGAAACCCUGAUGCAGCAACGCCGCGUGAGUGAUGACGGCCUUCGGGUUGUAAAGCUCUGCCUUCAGGGACGAUAAUGACGGUACCUGAGGAGGAAGCCACGGCUAACUACGUGCCAGCAGCCGCGGUAAUACGUAGGUGGCGAGCGUUGUCCGGAUUUACUGGGCGUAAAGGGAGCGUAGGCGGACUUUUAAGUGAGAUGUGAAAUACCCGGGCUCAACUUGGGUGCUUCAUUUCAAACUGGAAGUCUAGAGUGCAGGAGAGGAGAAUGGAAUUCCUAGUGUAGCGGUGAAAUGCGUAGAGAUCAGGAAGAACACCAGUGGCGAAGGCGAUUCUCUGGACUGUAACUGACGCUGAGGCUCGAAAGCGUAGGGAGCAAACAGGAUUAGAUACCCGUGUAGUC